rnacentral:rRNA from 1 species
UACGUAGGGGGCAAGCGUUGUCCGGAUUCAUUGGGCGUAAAGAGCGUGUAGGCGGCCAGACAGGUCCGUUGUGAAAACUCGAGGCUCAACCUCGAGAUGUCGAUGGAAACCGUCUGGCUAGAGUCCGGAAGAGGAGUGUGGAAUUCCUGGUGUAGCGGUGAAAUGCGUAGAUAUCAGGAGGAACACCGGUGGCGAAGGCGGCUACCUGGACAGAAACUGACGCUGAGGCGCGAAAGCUAGGGGAGCAAACAGG